rnacentral:rRNA from 1 species
AUGCCUAACACAUGCAAGUCGAACGCCUCCGCGGGUUUCGGCCUGUCUGGGAGUGGCGCACGGGUGAGUAGCGCGUGGGAACCUGCCCUCUUGUGGGGGAUAACCGAGGGAAACUUCGGCUAAUACCGCAUGCGCCCCGGGAUUUUGGUCCUGGGGGAAAGAUUGAUCGCAGGAGGAGGGGCCCGCGUCGGAUUAGCUGGUUGGUGGGGUAACGGCCUACCAAGGCGAUGAUCCGUAGCUGGUCUGAGAGGAUGAUCAGCCACACUGGGACUGAGACACGGCCCAGACUCCUACGGGAGGCAGCAGUGGGGAAUAUUGGACAAUGGGCGCAAGCCUGAUCCAGCAAUGCCGCGUGAGUGAUGAAGGCCUUAGGGUUGUAAAGCUCUUUCGCCCGCGACGAUGAUGACGGUAGCGGGAGAAGAAGCCCCGGCUAACUUCGUGCCAGCAGCCGCGGUAAUACGAAGGGGGCGAGCGUUGUUCGGAUUUACUGGGCGUAAAGGGCGCGUAGGCGGCCCGCGCAGUCGAGUGUGAAAGCCCCGGGCUCAACCUGGGAACGGCGCUCGAUACUUGUGGGCUGGAGUUCGGGAGAGGAGCGUGGAAUUCCCAGUGUAGAGGUGAAAUUCGUAGAUAUUGGGAAGAACACCGGUGGCGAAGGCGGCGCUCUGGACCGAGACUGACGCUGGGGCGCGAAAGCGUGGGGAGCAACAGGAUUAGAUACCCUGGUAGUCCACGCGGUAAACGAUGUGUGCUAGACGUUGGGGAGCGCA